GAGAGAGAGAGAGAGAGAGAGAGAGAGAGAGAGAGAAUUGAAAGAAACUGGAGAAAGAAAAAAAAGCAAAGAAGGGAAAGGAACAUACUUUGAUCAAAAUACCUUUUUCUUUUCUUUUUUAUGUUUUCUUUCACUUUCUUUACUUUCCGGUCACCCACUUUAAUCGGUCUCUUAGAUUUCA
rnacentral:snoRNA from 1 species